UUUCUCUUCAUAUUCCCCAUUUCAAUUUUCAUCACAAUUCAUCCUCUUCACGCCGCUUUCCUUUUCUGAAAGUGAUAAAAGCUCUCUCUAUCUACAACAAUGGUUUCUCCAUUACAAUCCUAGAUCCGCUUUAUUUCUCUCUCUUCUGGGUCCUUCCCUUUCUCGGUUUCUCAUUCCUUCUUUUGGUCCGGCGUUCCGCGGCUUCUCGCUGGUGGUGUGGUGGUGUGAGGUGUCCUUCUCGCCGUCACUUUCUCAUAGAAAAUCAGAGUUUGUCCAUUUUAAUUUAUUUCUCAAGGAAUACUUUAAGUUUUGUUAUGAUUUUCGUUCUUAAUUUCUGAAUUUUUGCUGUGAAUCAAAGAAUCCUUUGAUGAAAUACCAAUGUUAAUUUCUCCAUAUAUAUACAAGUUGUGAUUUAUGUGGGUGGAAUAUUACUGAAUUUCAAUAUUAGUGGUUUUUUUUCCGGCAAUUGUAUUUGAUUUGGUAAAAGUGAGUUAUUAUUGGAUGAAAAUGAUUGAUUUUUUAGAUCUGAUUUGUUGAUGAAUUUGCUAGUCUUUAGAGUGCCUGAUUACUCUCAUAAUCUUAAAUUCUAUGAAUUUUUGCUUAAUGUCAUUCACCGUAUAUCGAAUAACUGUUGGGUAAGAUUUAUACUACCUAUAUUUUAUUUUAUUUUAUUUUUUACUCAUCUAACUCUAAUUUCAUUUGGUGUUUUUCUUCAGUUAUCACUAGUAAUUGGUUUCUAUGUAGUAUGUUGUUAAUUAGUUGAUUAUUUUUCAGAUUAUUUUCAUUCUCUAUCUAUUUUUUGGUACUCUAUUUUUCUGAUUAUUUUCAUUAUUAAUUUUUUUUUUCAACGCGCCACUUGACUCCACCGAGUCCUACUCCCUCGAGGAGAUCAUUUCCCACUCUCGCUCCGGCGGAUUGUUGGACGUUACUAGAAAUCCCUUUUCAAUUCGCGAGUUGGGAAGACGAAUUGGCCUUAUGGGUUUGGUGUUUGGUCGAAGGAAAAGUGGGUUCUUCCUGAGAUUGUUGAGGACGACAUUGUUUUGGCUUUCGAAGAUUUGUGUGAUUUCUUUACAAGAAAUGCUCAAUCAAAAGGAGAUGGAAAAAGGAGUUGGAAAAUGGAGUAUUCAAGUCUUUGUUAUUGUAAUUGUAAAUUUCUGUAAAUCCAUUUUUUUUGUUGCAUAUUAUGUUGGAUAUUUUUUUGUAUCACAUCAAUUUUAUUUUAAUCCAUUGUUAUUCCUGUGGUCAUAAACUGAAAAUUACAGUUUACUUAA